CGUACGGUGCUCACUUAAAAAAUGCUCGCAGCCGGGUGGGUGUGCGGGACAGGGCUGAGAACACCGGGCUGGGGCCGGGGUUGGUGACCCCGAGGCCGUGCCGGUGGGGUGCUGCUGGGAGGGGGCCUGCCGUCCCCUUCGCUGGGCCACCUCGGAGCUGGGUGAGGGAUGAACGGGUGAUUUUUAGCUGGCAGUGGGCUGUUUGCGUGCUCGUACCUGGUGCUUGGUGUAAGGCAGGAGCUGGGAAGUGCUGCACAUGUGAAAGGUGCGUGUGCUGGGCACCUGUAUGGAGCGUGUGGGAAGGGGGAGAGGGCAGGACAGCAAGAGGGAGGGUCGCGCUGCUCUCGCUGUAGGAAAACACAGCGAUCCUGGUAACUUUGUUGCAAAGUUUUGGAGGGGCUCGCCUGGCUACUUCCGAGUUAAUUCAUUCAGUGGUAACAGUGUUGUGGAAACAGUUAAGCGCAAGGCAAAAGAAGCGGAGGAGGAUUUGUCACCGGCUGUUCUCUAAUCGGGGGCAGCGGGCAGUCAGGGAGCCCGGAGCGGCCCGCACUCAGCGGCCGGGCUGGGAGCCGAGCCGAGGGCAGGAGCACAGCCCGGCCGACAGCGGGGCCGGGCCGGGCCGCUCGGAGCAGGGACUGCGGGCCGCACCGCACCGGGCCGAGCCUCCAGGGCCCGCAGGGAGCGCGGCUCGAGCCCGGCGGCCCGACGCGGCCCGACCGAAAGGGAAGCGGGGUCGUGGGCCGGCGAGGGGCCGGCGGCCGCGGGGCCACCCCGGUGCCGCAGAGGGUUAACGCGGGCGGCGGCGGGCAGCUGGGAGUUGUAGGCGCCGCGGCAUGCCGGGAGCUGUCGUAAACGCCGCCGCCGCGCCCCGCCACCGCCAUGGCGGCCGCCUCGGUGCUGCCGGGCCCAGGCCCGUUGUACGGGGAGCGGCGGGGUUACGCUUCUGCGGUCGGAUCGGAUCGGAACGAGACGGGCCUGGCUGGGGUGGCGGGUCGCCUCGGUGCUCGCAGUUGGGCCACCUUCCGUGUGAUGAAGCAAUGCAGCUAAGCUGUAUGUUGCCUUAUGCUUGCAACACUGCAACCCCGAGGAAGAUUGCAUCUGCAGAGAUCUGCCUUCAUGCUUGGACUGAUAAGCGACGCUGGGGAAGCAUCUUGGCAAGUGAGUCCCGCUCCCUGCCUGUGACUCAUCCUUGUCUAAAUGCAGCCUGCGAGCUCUCGGAGGACUGCCUUUCUCUCUGAGCAGAGCAACAUAAAAAAUAGCAACGCUGUUGAAUAACCGAUGCUGCUGCAGUAUCCUGUCUCCUCAUUGCAUCGCCCUCUGGAAGACAGAAGUGAUGAUCAGCAGCGUGGUGUUGUCCUGCAGGCAGUUGAAGAACCACUUUGACAGCUAACAGGAGGACAACUAUGCAGUGUAAUCACAGCCUGUCUGUGCUCUUUCUGACAAUGUACAGUAGCACCCUAUUCCCAGUGAGGGGAUGCUGUAACCUCCCUCAGAUGAUCUGUAUUCUUCUCUGUUACUGUAACCAAGCUGUUCCUUUCUCACAGCCACGCAUUCCUGCAGAAAUACCAAGGAUUCCCUGUGCAGAUUAAGUAAGGUUUACAAACUCAGGAACUCCAAAAGGGAGAAUGAAGUAAUUCCAGAUCAUUUGCACUAUGGCUGAUACAGUUAGCAGGAGGGCUAAUUUGAUGUGUGUGGGUCUGCUGUGGGAGAGAAGGAAACCUGGGAACAAUCUGUCUCCUGUUAGACCUGCUGUAAGUGCUGUGUGAUAAGGGUGUAUUGCCAAACUUAGCCAUAAAGCUGCAGGUUAGGCAGCAGGAUGGGGCUUGCCCCGGUUCCUGCUUGCAGCUGCAUGGAAGCUGUGCCUUGGAUCCCACAGGGUUUUAAUCCCACUGCAGACUAUGGCUGUUCACAAGGUCACAAACGCAGACCUUUGUUUUCUAUUGAUUAUAUGGUUUUGAGUGGAAGAAUUGUUUUUUAUCUAUUUAUUUUGAUAUUUACAUAUGUAUUUAUUUCUUUAAUAAAUCAAUGAAACGAAUCA
ensembl:lncRNA